UUACAAGCCCUAACAUGCCAGUUUCCAAGCCUCAACAAUUUUAAGAUCUAAACUACAUCCACAGCAACAGGAAGAGUCUGCUGGCUGCUUUAAAAUAGCAUUUUGUGUUCAUUACACAAAAACAGUUCAAGCUUAUUAUCCAUGCUUGUUAUUUUGCCGUAAUGGUUGCAAAAAGGAAGAGACAUUUCUUGAGGUGUCUUGGCUAAAGUUGGAAGAUAGAGGGGAACACACGAAGAGCCUUCAAGAUAAUGCAAGCUUAUUUAUUACAAGGGCUUGCCUUAAGCUAUGUGCAGCCAAAGAAAGAAGAAAAGGGACAUGGAAAGGAAGUGGCGGGGAAACAAUUUUUCAAACAAUUCCCCACCCUAGUCUGGUGAGCCAGGGACAAAUUGGACAAUGUAUCUGAAGCAACUCUUGAGUGAAGAGCACUGAAGCCCUUCCCAGGCACCCUCCCUGAGUACUGGAAGAGCUGCUGGUGUAAACAAGCCCCUCCCCGGAUUUGUUCUCUUAGCGGAGAGCAGGUAAAACCCCAGAGUUCACCAUUACACACAUUGCUACAGACAUGUAAGGUGAGGUUGUGUCUAAGCAGGAAAGUUACCAGCAAUGCUCUCAAUGGUGGCUGUCUAGGUGGUAAUGAGUCGAUCUUCAUGUCCCCACAGCCUCCUGGCCCAACAUCCCUGGGUGAGUAUGGCAGGUGCAAAAAUUAUUGGCAUUACCAUUUCUGCCCUAAAAGUUCCAAUCCCACAAGACCUGUACAUCUCCACCUAUCUUUAAAAUUGAGAAGACAGUUCUUUCUAAGGCUUAGUUGAGACACAGGAAGAUGAGGACAGUGAACUCAUAUGUGGGUCUCUCAGCUGGAGCAAGCAGCCAAUUCACUACAAUUUAUAGUGAGACAGCUCUGCAUGUUGUGGGAUUGGAUUCAUCAGAUUACGGUGGAAUUUAAAGACCCCCCACUCUUUCUCAAGUAUCUACCAUUUUAGCUUUUUACCGUAGUCACUUUAUUCCUACUUUAAAGAUUUUCAAUUGUAUUAUAUUUGUAUCUUUUACCAUAAAGCUUGAACAUCUUAUAAAAAUUACAACAGUCUAAAUUCAAGUGUAUGCUCAAGAUCUCUUGAAUGAUUAUACUAAUGGAACAGCUUGUACCAGAUGAAAAGGAGAAUAUCCGUGUGAAAUGCACAUAGUAAGCACCCAGGAAAGUAUAGCACUUGUUAAUUUGUUCAAAAAGCCUUCAUAACCAUGAAAAACGUGAAGAGCCAUUCAAAGGCAAGUACCACAAUGUCUCACCUUCUUUAAUAGAAAGCCCAUUAAUCACAAAACAUGAAAAAUCCUUAAAUUUUGACAAGUACAGUAAAACAAAGAAAAUUGCAACAAAGUCCUUGUUUACCACUUAGUCAUAGUUGAGCUUCAAAUGCUGAAAACAAUGGUUAGAACUGGUUCUGAUAGGGCAAGAAUUUCUAUCCAGAUGAUGCAAAAAUAGUCCUUGUUUCCAGAGUCUGAAGAAUUUCAUCACUAAUUCUUGGAUUAAAUGUCAACAACUUCUGGUGAGUCAUUUAAGAUAGUUACGAUUUUCAAACUAAUGCUCAGUUAGGUCCUUGGGGCCAAGCACUAUCCUCCAGCUAGACUGAUUAUUAUGGGAUUGCAAUCCAGUUAAUAAAGGAGAUAAAUACAAGAGUGGAGUUUAAAGAUAAGUCUAGAGAGGUCUAUUUUAUCAUAUUACCAUUGAUAGAACAUUAUUGGAAUACAUUUUAGGUCAUAUUGUUGAUGUGCAGAUACAAUUAAAAAAUAAUUUGAUACUGUUAUUUCACUGUCCAUUAUCAAUACAUUUUAUUUAAAACAUGGAAAGGAAAAAGUGAGGACAUGGUAAAAUUAACAUAUUAUAUAUAUAUAAUCUAAAUCUUGCCUUACCAAUUGCAUAUGGCCAAUAUAUUCACCAAAGAUCACUUUUCUAUCUAAUAGAUUUCAUUUUUAUCUUUCCUUGUUUAAUUAUUGUCACACUCCACAUCCCACUGUCAUAAAUGCACAGCUGGGUCAUCCCCCACAGCCUAGGUUCUGUGUAGAAGAACUUUUCUAUAGUAACUUUGUAAUGCAUGAGAAAAAUCAGAACUUUAUCAACCUAUUUGGGUUUCACCUCAAGCAACCAAGGAGGGUUAAUGUUUAAACACUUGCAUAAUUGUUUUUAAAGUUAUAUUUGAAGGUCCUAGGCUAUCAUUAAGGGAAAUGGGCCCAAAUGAUAUUAUUUUGGUCCAUUUUGGUCCAUGCCAUCCAGGACUCUUCCAAAACCUAGGCCGGAUUUUCCUUUUCAUUCCUGGAGCUGUUGCUGUCACUACACAUAAGAUAAUUGUUAAGAAAAAGUAAAUCACCUUCUUCUCUUACACUCCAGAUCGGAAAUGUCAGACAGUGCCCCUUACCUUUCGUUGCUCCGCAAAAGAAAAGCACUCAUGAAAAGACUCAAUUUCUGCCAUUUGGGUCUCCUACUUAGUUGAAGCAAUAAAGAAAGAAAAAACAAUUGGCCAGAAGUGUCCCUCUCUGACAUGCUGCUCUUUAUUGUUAUCUCUUUAGUCACCAAGUAAUUAAAUCUUUUUUUUUUCUUUUGGUACCGGGGAUUGAACUCGGGACCUUGCACUGCAAGGCAGGUGCCGGAACCACUGAGCUAAAUCCCUGGCCCCAAACACCAGUCUCCAGUGGUUUCCAGUCUUGAUCUCCUUCAGCACAGGAAGAGUUCUCUUCACAUUCCUGGAGCAGGGCGUAUGCCAGGGUGUAUAAAUCAGCCCAACAGAAAGGCCUCACAGGGCAAAGAAGCAGUAGGGCGCCUGUCCCUACAUUGUCCUGAAAGUAGCCUCACGUGUGACUUUCCUCAAGAGCAAUCACUACAAUGUGUGAUCAAGUUUAUCCUAAAUCUAAGAAAGAAAAAAAGAAGACCGCAGCUCUGAUCUUGUCUUUUCUUACUCGAUUUCAAUAUCUCAUAUUGGGAGUUUUCAAGAGUACCCAUGAGUGCACAAGCGCAAGGACCUGAGUUCGAUCCCUGGUAUCCCCCCCCCACAAAAAAAAGAGUACCCAGGAUUUCUCUAGGGUAAACAAUGUAAUAUGAACAACUGAGCUUUACAUUUUUGCUGGGCAAAACAGUAAACAGAAGUAGAAGGAAGUGCAACGUGCAACAUUUCAUUCAUUACAGUAACUCAGUACUAAAAGUGCACAAGCUUUUCAGGGUGAAUUAUGGAAGGAAAGAGGAUUAUGAAAGGAAAGAUGAAUGUGAAGGAUAAUGUGAUGAGCUCCAAGUGUGGUAGCAAAGCAUUUAAAUUACCAUUCUCUUCACAUUGUUUUCUAUUAGCUGGCAAAGAAUUAUUUGUAAACAACAAACUUGAAAAAGUUCUAUUGAAAGACAGAUGUACAUUUGCAAACAACAAUGAAAACAUUCCCAUUUUAAGACUUAGAAAAAAAUAAUUUAAUUGGAGGUCUUUUAAUGAUUAAAAUAUUUCAAUAUUAAUCACCCUCCUAUUGCUACCACACAUAAUGCAAUCAGCAAAGUCAAUAUGUGUAUACUCUUAUGAUGAUAAAGCCCAAGACCUAGAAUUCAAUUAAAGACUUUUCACCCUACUCCAAGCAUCAAGCUUGGCCCCUAAUUAAGUGGGGAGAAAGAAAAAGCAAUGAAGAUAUAUUGAAUUCUUUUCAGAGAAUUAUGAAACAGGAAAUUUAUCCAGAGAUUACUUGGCUACUCUUAUUUUAUCGAAAGGUCAGAGUGAACAAGACUAAAAUGAUGCUCUUGGUAAAGACUCACACACACACACACACACACACACACACACACACACACAACGCAUCCAUCUUGCUUCUUUCUACUGACUUCUGACAUGCUACUGAGAGAUGCACAUUUCAGUCCUUAUUUUCGUGACUUUUCUGAAGCUUGUGGGAUAGCUUUGUAUGCCAGAAUCUGUCUGCUUAUGAUGAUGUUGUCAUAGAUUCCCCUCAUGCUUUAUUGAUUAUUCCUUCUACAUCUUGACCCAGUUUUGUCCAUUUAACUUGACUUUUACAGAAGUAGUUUAUUUAUAUGCUAAAUCUUCAUUUUCCUUGAAACUAAUUUUUACUUUUAUAUUCCUUUACCCUUUCAUUUACAUUUUAUCAUUUUUCUUUUGUCUUUUUUGAGAUAGCCUCGCUAUACAAUUCAAGCUAACUUUGAACUCACUAUGUAGCCCAGGCUGGCCUCAAACUCCAGGCAAUCCUCCUGCCUCAGCCUCCCAAGUGCUGGGAUUACAGGCAUGAGCACCACACCUGGCUCCCCGUGUUUUCAUCAUUCCUUUUACUUAUAUAUUUUAUUACUUACACUUUUCUUUUUUCUUAUUCUUGCAUUUAUUUACAGUUUUUUUAAAAUAAUUAAUUUUCAUACUCUAUUUCUUAAUACUAUUUGAGGUAACUCCCUUGAAAAUAAUCUACAUUAUGUUAUAUUUAAUCCCAGUCUAAUAUUUUCUCAAUUUCAUUUUGAUGUUUAAAACUUUCCAAAAUGUAUGGGUAUUUGAAAUAGAUCAUUUUCUAUUUUAAAAAAAAUAUUUUAAGUGGGAAAUUAAAUGAUCUCUUUUGUAUUUCUCUGGCUUUUGUGUUGACAGUGAAUUAAAUAUAGGCAGAAUGGAUGUUGAGAGACAAAUUGGAGGUUAUUGCACACUGGAAGAAGACAGUGAUUUUAUUAGAUUCUCAUAAUAAAGACAGAAAAGAAAUAGAUUCAAAAUGUACACUGAAAAGACAAUUAUUAGUAGCAUGACACACGUUAUUUUUGUAAAUGAAGAGAUGCACAAGCCUCAGGAUUCAGUAGCUUCCUCUUGCCUUUUCUAUAUACAUCUCUUUUAACUACAUGAUGAGAAUAACUCAUAUUAGGUCUAUAUGUUCAGGUAUUUGAACUCUACCUACAUUCAUAUUGGUAAUUUUCAACCAAAGCAAAGAUGUGAUAUUUUUAACUUGGAAAACAGAUUUUAAAAUGGUGUCAUUACAAAAGAAUAAUGUUCUUUGUUUUGUCCCUGAAUAGCAUAACCUACUGAACGGAGCACUACAUUGAGGGAAAGUUGACAUACUUAACAGACAUACUUUACAGAGAAUUUCCUGUUGAAAGGCUUAAUGCAAAUCCUGUUUGACAUUGAUGUUUUUUGUAAAAAAAUAGUUAUGAUAUCACUUAUUCAGUAUAUAUGGUUAAAUGUUAUUUUUAAUAGACAUCCAGCUUAAGAGGACUUCAUAUAUUAAGGGUACAGAGAAUUAUGAUUGGACAAAGAACUUUGGCUAAGAGAAGAAAAUGGGUAAUUUUUUGGAGGGUGCAUUAUGUUUUUCUCAAUUAAGAAUCAAUAAUUACCCUGGAUUAAAUACAUUUUAAAUUUGUUGACUAGAGGAAUAAAGAUAUAUUUUAAAAUCUAUAGAUAGAAUUCAGAGCUGAAAUUGGGAUGAAAUGCCUCUUUGUCUUAUAGCUUUCGUGUAUAAUCCAAGAACAUUUAAUCAUUUCAAAUUUGCCUGAAUGAAAGAGAACAAAAACUGCUAAAGGGUGAAAGAGGUGGGAGAGACCAACCCAGAGAUGCAAAUGCAGCUGUAACUCUCCAAGGGCAACAUAUGUUAUAGAAAUACACAUACGCCCAAUCCAGCCUAGGUGCAGCAGGAACUGGGUUCUUGAUACAGAAAAGCACAGACUUCUCCCAGCUGAUUUAAUCUUCCCAUGAUAGUGAACAUACAAGGAAUAAAAAAGAAUCCAAUAGCCCUAAGGUAAGAGUAUUGCUUCAAGUAGGCUAUGUUAUGAAAAAAAGUUAAUACCCUAGGAAAUAUAGUUUUUACAUUAUUAUUAUUUGAAGGCCCUUAUUUUCAGCUGAGAAAAUUUUGAUUGUUAAAACCUCAUUUAAAUCCUGCUCUAAUUUGUAAUGCAGAAUGUGGAUUCAUUUGUCUGUACAAUUUGUUCAACAGGUUCAAAGCACAUAUCUAAUGGCGUAACUUCUAUUCUAACACUGUAUGAUUCUCUCAUGGACCUGGUUUAAAAACACCUUUGAGCAUCUGUUUAAUUUCUGCCUGCAGUACAGAGUCACUCCAUCAUACCUAAUGAAUGUUUUUCAUAGAAAAGCAAAAGUUAGAUACAAACUGAAGAGAAAAGUGUAAUUAUUGGGAGUAAUCAUUGUCAUAUAAGAGCUUAUUUUAAAUAUUCAUCAAGAAUAAUUAUAUAAAAUGAA